AAGAAUGAAGAAUAUCAUUUAGGUGAUGCUCCAGAGAUGAAGUGUUCUCCAGGCUUCGUGACUGUGAUACUCUUAAUGCUUGGACAAGCCCAUGGAGACUCGGUGACUCAGACGGAGGGCCAAGUGACCCUCUCAGAAAACGGUUUCCUGAGGGUGAACUGUACUUAUUCAGGAUCAAGGUAUCCUGCCCUUUACUGGUAUGUCCAGUACCCAGGAGAAGGUCCACAGCUCCUCCUGAGUGCCUUGACGGAUAAGGAGAAAGGAAGCAAGAAAGGAUUUGAAGCCACUUAUGACAGAGAUUACAAAUCCUUCCACUUGGAGAAAGGCUCAGUGCAAGCGUCAGAUUCAGCUGUGUACUACUGUGCCAUGAAUGACACAGUGACGGGGACUGCAGGGGGAGCUGAGCACAAACUCUGA